rnacentral:rRNA from 1 species
CCUACGGGGGGCUGCAGUGGGGAAUUUUGGACAAUGGGCGCAAGCCUGAUCCAGCCAUGCCGCGUGCAGGAUGAAGGCCCUCGGGUUGUAAACUGCUUUUGUACGGAACGAAAAGCCUCUCUCGAAUAAAGAGGGGUGAUGACGGUACCGUAAGAAUAAGCACCGGCUAACUACGUGCCAGCAGCCGCGGUAAUACGUAGGGUGCGAGCGUGAAUCGGGAUUACUGGGCGUAAAGUGAGCGACAGUGGUCAACUCCCCGGGCUCAACCUGGGAACGGCCAUUGUGACUGCAAGGCUGGAGUACGGCAGAGGGGGAUGGAAUUCCGCGUGUAGCAGUGAAAUGCGUAGAUAUGCGGAGGAACACCGAUGGCGAAGGCAGUCCCCUGGGCCUGUACUGACGCUCAUGCACGAAAGCGUGGGGAGCAAACAGGAUUAGAUACCCCAGUAGUC